rnacentral:rRNA from 1 species
CACAUGCAAGUCGAACGGAGUUAUAUGAAACCUAGUGAUAUAAACUAGUGGCGGACGGGUGAGUAACGCGUGGGUAACCUGCCGUAUGCUGGGGGACGAACAGUUGGAAACGACUGCUAAUACCGCAUAAGCGCACAGAGAGGCAUCUCUCAGUGUGAAAAACUCCGGUGGCAUACGAUGGACCCGCGUCUGAUUAGGCAGUUGGCGAGGUAACGGCUCACCAAACCUACGAUCAGUAGCCGGCCUGAGAGGGUGAACGGCCACAUUGGGACUGAGACACGGCCCAAACUCCUACGGGAGGCAGCAGUGGGGAAUAUUGCACAAUGGGGGAAACCCUGAUGCAGCGACGCCGCGUGAGUGAAGAAGUAUUUCGGUAUGUAAAGCUCUAUCAGCAGGAAAGAAAAUGACGGUACCUGACUAAGAAGCCCCGGCUAACUACGUGCCAGCCGCCGC